rnacentral:rRNA from 1 species
UACGUAGGGUGCAAGCGUUGUCCGGAAUUACUGGGCGUAAAGCGUGCGCAGGCGGUUUUGUAAGUCUGUCGUGAAAUCCCCGGGCUCAACCUGGGAAUUGCGAUGGAGACUGCAAGGCUAGAAUCUGGCAGAGGGGGGUAGAAUUCCACGUGUAGCAGUGAAAUGCGUAGAGAUGUGGAGGAACACCGAUGGCGAAGGCAGCCCCCUGGGUCAAGAUUGACGCUCAUGCACGAAAGGCGUGGGGAGCAAACGAGGA